CCUACGGGUGGCAGCAGUGGGGAAUAUUGGGCAAUGGGCGCAAGCCUGACCCAGCAACGCCGCGUGAAGGAAGAAGGCUUUCGGGUUGUAAACUUCUUUUCUCAGGGACGAAGCAAGUGACGGUACCUGAGGAAUAAGCCACGGCUAACUACGUGCCAGCAGCCGCGGUAAUACGUAGGCGGCAAGCGUUAUCCGGAUUUACUGGGUGUAAAGGGCGUGUAGGCGGGAAAGCAAGUCAGAUGUGAAAACCAUGGGCUCAACCUGUGGCCUGCAUUUGAAACUGUUUUUCUUGAGUACUGGGGAGGCAGACGGAAUUCGUAGUGUAGCGGUGAAAUGCGUAGAUAUUAGGAGGAACACCAGUGGCGAAGGCGGUCUGCUGGACAGCAACUGACGCUGAGGCGCGAAAGCGUGGGGAGCGAACAGGAUUAGAUACCCCUGUAGUC
rnacentral:rRNA from 1 species